rnacentral:rRNA from 1 species
GUGUCAGCAGCCGCGGUAAGACGUAGGGGGCGAGCGUUACCCGGAAUUACUGGGCGUAAAGGGGGCGUAGGCGGUGAUACAAGUCAUCUGUGAAAACCUAUUGCUCAACGAUAGGCUAGCGGAUGAAACUGUAUUACUUGAGUGCACCAGAGGCAGACGGAAUUACCCGAGUAGGGGUGAAAUCCGCAGAUACGGGUAGGAACGCCGGUGGAGAAGUCGGUCUACUGGGGUGUAACAGACGCUGAGGCCCGAAAGCUAGGGGAGCAAACCGGAUUAGAUACCCGGGUAGUCCUAGCCGUAAACGAUGGGUGCUAGGUGUAGGGAGUGAUAAACUCUCUGUGCUGAAGCGAACGCGCUAAGUGAGCCGCCUGGGGAGUACGGCCGCAAGGUUAAAACUCAAAGAAAUUGGCGG